GUGUCUCAUUUUAAUAUUCCAGUUGCUGUAGCCUGCAAAGAAAGUGUCAGAGAAAGGCAGCUUGUGAACUGAUUGAACCGCAGGCAGAAGAAUCUUCUUUGUGUUGCCUGAGGUCAAGAAUGUGUUUACACGUUGGCCUAAUGCUCUCGACUUUUGGGCUUUGGGACCUCCAAAGGCUACAGUGCCAUCAUACCAAGCAGUGAAAAGUCUGAAGCGCCCCAGCAGAGCACCUGAACCAGAUGUGCAACAAGACUUCAGUCAACACCAGCCCCCAGGUCACCCAACUCCAUGACAUCAUGCCAGGCUGGAAAAGUCAACAGGCCUCUGACUCCUGGCUCAGGCCCUCCUCUCUCCUCUCUCCCUCUGUUCUCCUUUCUCCUGCCUCUUGCUGUUCCUAACCCAGGGACAAUAUUUAGAAAGCAGAGCUGGUUCAGGCAGCCCUCUCAGUUACUUUGGCUGGAACCUUCCUGAGUACAUUUUGCUAUCUCUUUGUGAUGUAAACAGGGGCACUCACAGUUGGCCAGGGAUGCUCUUUCUGCUUUAAUUACACAGGCAUAAUUAUAGUCCCAGGGUCUGGAAAAAAGCACAGAGUUCUUUGGAGAACUUCACAGAGAUUUUUCUGUUAUGACAUAGUUUAUCUGGGGGGACAAAAACAAAACAACAACAAAAAAAAUAGUAAGCCAAAAGGCAUUUCCAAAGAGGAAAUAAUAAAACAAUUCAUGCUAGCAUUCCAAUCUGUACUGAAUAGAUGACAAAAAUCAGAGGAGUCUUUUUUUGGAGGGGCAGAGAGUUGUCUCAAAAUGUUGAACUCAUGGAUAGGGUGGGAAAAUCUAGAUAAAUUCUACUGAAUGGAUGUGGGUGGAGAAGGAUAUGAAAACAAAUAUUUUUGCUUGGGAAAGCAGUAAUAAAGCAUCCGCUGCAUCCCAUUGAAUUUGUGAGUGCCCUAGCUCCCUCACCCCCAUCCUGGGGAUUAUGCACAAUGAUCCCACCAUAGUAAUAGUAGUCUGGCUUCAACUUGAGUCAUAAAAAUUCCCCUUGCCCCCAGAUGUUCAGUAAGAGGGCACUUUGUUACUCCGCUGAUGUAGCGAGAAAUCACAGAACUGCCAGGGUAAUGGAGAGAGCAGUGACAGAGGUGGAGAGAGAGGGCUGUUUCUCUGUUAUGAAACGUGUUUUUAUAGGUAAUUCUGAUGUACAGUGGAUAUUAAAUAGAGCAACUAAAAGAUGUUUUAUUUUAGAUUAGUGCUAGAGUGAUAUUUUCCCCAUGGCACUAAUAAUCUGGCAGCUUUCAAAAGCCUAUUUCCCUUCCCAGUAUCUCAGACUCUCAGCUCUGUCCUGGUGUAAGGAUAAGCCAUUGCAUUGACAAUUCUUUCUUAGAAAAGGAGAGAAUCACCUUUAUAGAUGGGUGCACGUGGUAUUUAGAAAGGAGAGACAUCGUGCUUUUGUUUAUUUGUUUUUGGUAGGAAGUAAAAUAUUAAAUAAACCCUACAUUUGCUAUUUGGAGAUACAGGGGCAACCCGCUUUCAAAGAUGCCAUUUCAACAUGGGCUUUUUGUAAUUGAGCGAUCAUUUAAAAAGCCCCUUGCUGCACGUGUGCCUUUUGGAAUCCAGGGGCGCACCAGUUUGGUCUUACAUCCUGGUUGUCGGCCGCAUGCAGGAUGUACAAUCCUUGUUUAAUUGUGUUGUUCUUACAGACUUCAAGGGCUGUCACAGGAACAACAGAGGCCUGUUGUUGAAACCACAUCGUUUCCAUCACAGUGGGGAAAAAAACAAGGUCAUUGUGGGCUUGCAGCAUUGUUAAGGUUUUGAGCCUGCCCCAAUUAUUUUAUUCAUGUUAAAAUUUAAGGAGAUGAGAAACAUAUUGAAGAGAGGACAGAAGUUAAUUUACAUCUGCCACUUCCCCCUCUGCAAUAUUUAAAUGCCUGUCACUCUCCCACCCCUUUUAGCUGAAGGGGGAGUCCUUUCAGCCAAGCCCCCUCCCCCUCUACUGUUUUUUCUUUUUCUUUUUUUUUCAAUUUGUUAAGAUGGUGAAAUCUGCUUUGUGUGAUUUAUGAAGGAACUUGAAGCGAUUAGUUUCACAGUGCAUGAAAAUUCCUCAGGUUCAGGGGGGAUGGCCAAUCUGUUACACUGUUUGCCGUGGACUGGAUGGGAACUUGAGCAGCUCGGAGCCAUAAGGAGAUUGUGUUGAGUUAUUAAACACUUGUGGUAAAGCUGCUUAUUGUUAAUUCCCUGAUGUCCUGCUGAAGCGAUAGGAUAAAAUCAGAUCGGAUUAGAUCAAAGAGCCUGGGAGCCAGCCUUUGGAGCAGAUUCAUUUAGUCAAUAAAGAGACCUCCUGAGAGAGGGGGAGAGAAUCUGG
rnacentral:lncRNA from 1 species